GACGAACGCUGGCGGCGUGCUUAACACAUGCAAGUCGAACGGAAAGGCCCUGCUUUUGUGGGGUGCUCGAGUGGCGAACGGGUGAGUAACACGUGAGUAACCUGCCCUUGACUUUGGGAUAACUUCAGGAAACUGGGGCUAAUACCGGAUAGGAGCUCCUGCUGCAUGGUGGGGGUUGGAAAGUUUCGGCGGUUGGGGAUGGACUCGCGGCUUAUCAGCUUGUUGGUGGGGUAGUGGCUUACCAAGGCUUUGACGGGUAGCCGGCCUGAGAGGGUGACCGGCCACAUUGGGACUGGGAUACGGCCCAGACUCCUACGGGAGGCAGCAGUGGGGAAUAUUGCACAAUGGGCGGAAGCCGGAUGCAGCAACGCCGGGUGCGGGAUGACGGCCUUCGGGUUGUAAACCGCUUUCGCCUGUGACGAAGCGUGAGUGACGGUAAUGGGUAAAGAAGAACCGGCUAACUACGU
rnacentral:rRNA from 1 species